UUUUUUCAAAACGUACAAUUGAAUCCAUGGCAUCUUCUUCUUCUUCUUUUGCGAGUGAUUCACAAAAUUAUCCUCUAUGGAAGUAUGAUGUCUUUCUAAGUUUUAGAGGUAAGGAUACCCGUAAAACAUUUACGAGUCACUUGUACGAAGGCCUGAGAAACAGGGGAAUAUUCACCUUUCAAGAUGAUAAACGGCUAGAGCAAGGCGAUUCCAUCUCACAAGAACUCUUGAAAGCUAUCGAAGAGUCUCAAGUUGCACUCAUCGUUUUCUGAAGGAACUAUGCUACGUCGAGGUGGUGCUUGAAUGAACUAGUGAAGAUCAUGGAAUGCAAGGAGGAAGAAAGUAGACAAACAGUCAUACCGAUCUUCUAUGAUGUGGAUCCAUCACAUGUUCAAACCAAAGUGAGAGCUUUGCAGUAGCAUUGUAACAACUAGAAACAGACAAUUGAUAGAGAAGGAUGCUGCAAUAUACAAAGUGCCUACACUACCUGACCAUCAUGCUAUGCAAUUGUUCAAUAAGCAUGCUUUUAGAAAAGAAGUUCCAAAUGAGUGUUUUAAGAAGUUAUCGUUGGAGGUAGUAAAUCAGGCUAAAGGCCUUCCUUUAGCCCUCAAGGUGUGGGGUUCUUUGCUGCACAAGAAAGGCCUAACUCAAUGGACAAAAACUGUAGACCAAAUAAAGAAAAAGUCUAAUUCAGAAAUUGUUGAAAAACUCAAAAUAAGUUAUGAUGGGUUGGAGCCCCAAAGAGCAAAAGAUAUUUCUAGAUAUCGCAUGUUUCUUCCGUGCGUAUGAAAGAAAACAAGUCAUGAAAAUUGUUGAUAGCCGUGAUUUUGGAGCUGAAUACGGAUUAGAUGUUCUAAUUGAAAAAUCCCUUGUGUUCAUCUCUAAAUAUGACAGAAUUGAAAUGCAUGACUUGAUUGAAGAUAUGGGCAAAUACAUAGUGAAAAUGCAAACAAAUUCUGGAAAACCUACCAGAGUAUGGAAUGUUGAAGAUUUCGAAGAUGUUAUGAUGGACAAUAUGGGGCCUUAUCCAACCAUCCAGAAUGUCCUGCAGAAUCUGCUAUGCAUUUUUUCUUGAUACCUCUUGCUGGCUUAUGGGAUACAUCCAAGGCAAAUGGAAGAACACUGAAUGACUAUGGGCACAUUAGGUUAUAUACCCCUGGAGAAAGGAAUGAGCUUGGAUAAAGAUGAACCUAAGAUUGAGGUCAGUUGCUCAUCUUCUCAGAAACAAUGAUGAACCAACACCAAGAUGAAGCCCGUCUAUUCAGAAACUUUGCAGCUCUUUCCCACAAGCCCAGGAUAUUAGCUUAAAUAUAGGCCUGUGUAGCUGCUGAGGAGUUUAUGCGGCAGUUGCCGUAGUUAACUAAGCAGGAGCAAGAGACUGAAGAUGUUGACAAAGUGAGCACUCCAGAGAUAAUUUAUAUAACUAAACUUGAAUAGCCAUCUCAUCCAAAAGAACCUACUCUCGUAUGCUAUCCAUCAGAAACUGAUGUUCAUCAUUUUCCUUGCAAAACAACAUUUUAUGAGAUAAACAAGUUGGAAAGAACAGAAAUAAAUGUAUUUUUUAACAUUAAAGUGACAGCUUGUGGAGUAUACUGUGUCAUUUUUUUGAGAAAAAAGUAUACUGUGUCAUCUUGCAAUUGCAUCAUAUCUUGGUGCUCCGUCAUAAUUCAUUUAGUGCAAGCCAAUAUGCUGUCUUCUUGAGUACUAAGUUCAGAUUUUGACUUUGUUGUAUGAUUUUCAUGUGAAAAGAUGUAUCAGAGAUAUACGGAUUUCACUUAGUUCAUAGAGUAAAGGCAAAGGGUUGUUAUUCUGUAAGGUAUUCACUGAUCUAGGGGUUUAAAAUUUAUUAAUAUGUCAUUUUAAUGCAUCCGUGAGACAAUUGAGUACAUACACGGUGAAUUGCCUCACAUCUUGCGAGUUGCAUCAUAUCUUGGUGCUCCAUCUGUAUUCAUUUUCUCUGCAAGUCAUUAUUCGCCUUUUUUAGUACCAAGUUUCAGAGUUUGAGUUUGCUGUAUGAUAUCUUUUUUAUCGUACUGUCUGUUGUUUCUUGUCGAAAUUGAACUUGAUAAAGUAAUACUAACAUCUAUAUCUCGAUUACUCUAAGUUUUUUUAACAAGUUCUAGUUUUUUUGGAUUUGGAUUAUUUUUGCUGUUCACAAUGGGAACAUGGUAUUUGAGUGCAAAAGUGCAUACGAACGGCACAUAUUUCCUCUGUUUGUACAUAACUAGAUUCUUGUGGUGAGAGAGAUUCUCGAAAGAACUUUGGAAUCUAUGAAUGUGCGCGAAGCAAGAAAGUUGUGCCAAAACAGGUGAAGGAAAGAAGUCAUGGAACCAUCAGUAAGUCGCCUCACAUCAGAAAGCACAAACAGUCCAAAGGGGAACUCUUUCCAGGAAUAUUCGAAUGUAGCUCUAGUGGUAAGCUACUGUUCUUCCAUUGGGAUGUAGACUCUCAAAUACUUUCUCUGCCACUACCAAGUUCUACUGAAGAAGUGUUAGUUAUCUACUGCAAAUCUACACGGUAGAAGUAGUUUGUAUGAAUACACUGCGGAUGAUCAAAUCUAGCACGCGGAUUAAGUAGUUGAGAGCAACUACAUCUUUUAUUUCCAUCCAAUGUCUGGUACCCAUCAUAGGGUUUCCAGUCAAUGUAGUUUAAAUGCCAGCUUGUUGGAACCGAUUGACUUAAGCCAGUUAAAAGUAUCUUGACAACCCCUUGUUAUCCAUCAGAUGUUGUGCUUUAGGAAGUUGUGAAAAGGGAAAAUGAACAAAUGA